CUUGAACAGGAAUAAUAGAAAGGAAGUUUUCUAGAGGGUCUCUAAUACAAAAUUAGCAAACAUAUAAAGUAUUAAAACAAUAUUGUUUGAGUCAUUUAUCUCAUUAGGGACUUCAGCAAUUUCGAUAUCCAAACGCAACAUCUUCUUGAUAUGUUUGAAUGUUUGGCUACUUAUCUAUAAAAAAAAAAGUGACAAUAUUUUGAUUUUUUCGUUUCCUUUUUUUUGUUUUGUAUUUUUUUCCCCAAUAAGCAACAAAAAUUUAUUUUGCAUUUUCCCUUUUAUUUUUCUGCUUUUCUUUUUGUAUCUUCCUCUCCCUUUCAGUGGGUGUAGAGAUAUUACUUCCUUUAUCCAUUUUAUGUCUUAGUUGGCUUUGCACAAACUUUAAGAAAACAUCCUUGAAUGAUAGAUUUAAAAAAUGUCCUUCGUUUUGAAUAUUUUCAAUUUAUAGCCCAAUUUUUUCUUGGGGGCUUUUGGGAGCCCUUCAUCAUAAAACUUUAAUUACUUCUGUCAUACACAGAUAAAAAUAUCCAUUUAUCAAAUUUGUGUUCAUGAUUUUUAACUCCUAAUUCAAUCUUUAUCAAGAAAUAAAGAAGACAAGAAAUCUCGAUGGUUGCCUUGUGUCCUUGAUUUUGCAUACACAAUGGACUUGCGUCUUUCUCAUUGGGAGUAUAAUGAGCGAUUAUAGAGGAAGUGAAUAAAUUUGGUAACUCAUUCCAUUUGUUGGAGUUUUUUUCUUUGUGACUCAUUUUUUUUUAAAGUGUCUUGUACUUUUUCCAUUAUUUUAAUUUUUUAAAAUGUUCUAGUUUCAAGUGAAAAAGUUGUUACCACUUGUUAGGUUGAAAUUUUUGGUUCUAAAGAUGAAAACAGGAAGGUAGGUUUUUUCUGUGGAUCUUCUGGAGAGAUAUGCAACAAAGGGGCAUGGAGUUAUCACAUGCAUGGUUGCUGGCAAUGAUGUUAUUGUAUUAGGAACUAGUGAAUAAAAGUUUUACAUUGAUGGGUUGGUGAGUGCAUAGACUUGGUGGGUUUGUUUUUCUUACAUUAAUGUUUUGCUUUUUGACAUGAGGAUUUGUUUUUGUUACAUAGGAUUGUCUAACUAGAAACCCUCUGUCCGAUUUCAAGGUAUUUCUUUUAUUAUGUUUACACAAAUAUCUUUUAUAUAUGUAAUUUUCUAUCUGAUAAAUUUGUACCUCAGUCAUCUCUCUCUUUCACUAUUUCCCACCCACUAACCUCCCUUUGAAUUCACUGUUUGUGAGCUAAUUAGUCAUAUACUUGUGGACUCAAUGAUCAUAUAUAAAGUGAGUUGAUCACCAAGUGUUUGACAAAAUUACCAUGAAUCAGUAAUUUGUACUACAACAACAAAUUAUAGUUGUAAGACCAAGUUGAAAACUAUAGUUGAAAAUCUACUGAAGUUAUACACACAGGAGAAUGUACAACAUGGGCAAUUUUAAAUUUUAGUUAAUGAAUAAGACCAAAAAAGCUUUGCCCAGUUCAAAAGCUCCCUAUUAGAUUUAUUAUAUUCUAUUUCUAUUUCUUUGUUUGAAUGUAUGUAUUUGCCCUCGUUGAAUUCCAGGACUUUAUGUAGAUGAAAGUUGGAUUAAUUUUUCCUGUGUGUUAUUGUUGAAUACAUUGCUUCAACUUACUAGGUUUAUGUAGGGUGACUUAUAUUUUUUGGAAUUUUUUUCCCCUCACCAAUAAGAAAAUUUGAGAAUAGAUUUUGUGGUUGAUGGGCAGGGCACCAUAAAGAGCUCUCUCUCUCUCUCUUUCUGGAAGAGUGUGAAAUGCAUGCAUUUUGAUUCAUUUGAUUACACUAUAUUUUUCUUUUCUUGCUAAUUCAUUUGUCUUUAUUUUUUUGCCCAUCUUUUCCAUGAUCAAUAAUCUAUACCCAAAACUAACUGAAAAUGCCACUACAUUCAUGAACCAAUGUGAAAUAUAUAGUCAUGUAAAAUAACAAUCCCCAUCAAAUUAUGAAGGAACUUUUUGAUAUAGAUGCUGGUCUUAACUCAAAUUUGUCUAUUGUUGCGCAUGCUUAACAGGUUCUGCCCCUGGUGAGCUCUGCUGUGGAGGAAGAUCUCCCAUGGUGAACUUGCUUUACAAUUUGGAGAUUUGUUAAGGAAGCUAUGGGCUCCAAGAGCAACACCAGUAGCUCCAAGAGCGUUCAAAUCGAAACUUUCUGCUUUUGCACCUCAAUUUAGCGGCUAUAACCAGCAUGAUUCCCAAGAAUUUCUUACUCUUUUUUUGUAUGGGCUCCAUGAAGAUCUCAAUUGUGUGAAACAAUGUUUUCAAAACCGGACCGGUGAGCGAACCGGAAAAGGGACCGGGUGGACCGGUCACCGGUUCAACCGUCGGGUCAAAGCGGUCGAACUGUGGCGUCAUAAUUAAUAUUAUAUAAUUAAAA